rnacentral:rRNA from 1 species
AUGAAAAUAGAUGCGGCAAAUCAGGUGCUUUACCUGGAUAAAGCCAUUGGUAAAGAAAGGUUAUUCCAUAUAGGAAUGAAUAUUGACUCAGCUGCCAAGUACCCUAUAAAAUAUGUCGUGAAAAAAAGUUUCCCCGUGGACAAUACCAAAUCAGUUCCUCUGUUAACUGCUUCAAAGGUAACAACUUUUAGAUACUCAUUACCUUCAUAUAUCAUCCUAUUAACUUGA